CGCCUUUUUGCUAUGUACGGAAUUCAAAGAUUCGAACCUGCAGCAGGUUCGGGUCGAACGCAGUGAGACAACGGAGCCGUUAACGGCGACGGCCCGGAGGGCGAGUGAAGCGAGUCAUCCUGCACGCCCCACCA
rnacentral:sRNA from 1 species